GCCCGCAUAGCUCAGUCGGUAGAGCAUCAGACUUUUUUAUACUAACCUUGGAGGUUAUCUGAGGGUCGCGGGUUCGAGUCCCUCUGCCUGCG
rnacentral:tRNA from 1 species